AUUUAAGUAAUUUAAAUAAAAUAUUGGAUUGUGGAGCCAAAAAUGUAAAAUUUUACCUUAAAUA
rnacentral:tRNA from 1 species